rnacentral:rRNA from 1 species
CCCGCUGAACUUAAGCAUAUCAAUAAGCGGAGGAAAAGAAACUAACAAGGAUUCCCCUAGUAACUGCGAGUGAAGCGGGAAAAGCUCAAAUUUAAAAUCUGGCGGUCUCGCGGCCGUCCGAGUUGUAAUCUGGAGAAGCGUCUAUCCGCGUCGGACCGUGUACAAGUCUUCUGGAAGGGAGCGUCGUAGAGGGUGAGAAUCCCGUCUUUGACACGGACAACCGAUGCUUUUGUGAUGCGCUCUCGAAGAGUCGAGUUGUUUGGGAAUGCAGCUCAAAAUGGGUGGUAAAUUCCAUCUAAAGCUAAAUAUUGGCGAGAGACCGAUAGCGAACAAGUACCGUGAGGGAAAGAUGAAAAGCACUUUGGGAAGAGAGUUAAACAGUACGUGAAAUUGUUGAAAGGGAAACGUUUGAAGUCAGUCGCGUCGGCCGAGACUCAACCUUGCGCUCGCGCUCGGUGCACUUCUCGGUUGACGGGUCAGCAUCAAUUUCGACCGCCGGACAAAGGUUGGGGGAAUGUGGCAUCCUUCGGGAUGUGUUAUAGCCCUCGAUUCACAUACGGCGAUUGGGAUUGAGGAACUCAGCAUGCACCUUCGGGUGUCGGGGCUUUUGUCCACGAUACAUGCUUAGGAUGUUGGCGUAAUGGCUUUAAACGACCCGUCUUGAAACACGG